rnacentral:rRNA from 1 species
AUGGGUCUAUUGAAUCAAGCGCUGCUGGUGAUGACACCGUUUGAUAAGGCAAAGGAUGGACUAAGACUGGAGGACCGUGUGCAGAACAAAGGCCAACAAGACGGAGCCGCGAGACAGAGAACAUGUAAUCCAGAGGCUGAUGAAGUGAAUUCCGAGCAUAGCCAUCCUUUAGCAGGUUUGGAACCGCCGGCGAAGAAGAGAAAUCCGGGAAGGCCAAUGAAUGUUAGGAACAGAGCACCUUACGAAAGCACGGCGAAGAGGAGAUUAAGGGGCACAAACGAACAACUUGCCCACAGCAAGGAGACACCCCGAAAAAUCCUAGGAAGGAGGCAAUGUGCAGCAACUGCGGCGUGGUUGGACAUAGGAAGAACGCGUGCAGACAGACCGGCCGGGCAAGGGGCUAAUGCUGAGACUGCAUAG